rnacentral:rRNA from 1 species
CAGUAGCCGCGGUAAUGCGUAGGGGGCAAGCGUUAUCCGGAAUUAUUGGGCGUAAAGAGUGCGUAGGUGGUCUACUAAGCGCGAGGUGAAAGGCAAUGGCUCAACCAUUGUUAGCCUUGCGAACUGGCAGACUUGAGUGCAAGAGAGGAAAGCGGAAUUCCUAGUGUAGCGGUGAAAUGCGCAGAUAUUAGGAGGAACACCGGCGGCGAAGGCGGCUUUCUGGAUUGUAACUGACACUGAGGCACGAAAGCGUGGGUAGCAAACAGGAUUAGAUACCCCCGUAGUCCCUGUCUCUUAUACA